GAUGAACGCUGGCGGCGUGCCUAAUACAUGCAAGUCGAGCGAACGGACGAGAAGCUUGCUUCUCUGAUGUUAGCGGCGGACGGGUGAGUAACACGUGGAUAACCUACCUAUAAAACUGGGUUAGCUUCGGGAAACGGGAGCUAAUACCGGAUAAUAUUUUAAACCGCAUGGUCCAAAAGUAAAAAACGGCUUUGCUGUACCUUAUAGAUGGUCCCGCGCUGCAUUAGCUAGUUGGUAAGGUAACGGCUUACCAAGGCAACGAUGCAUAGCCGACCUGAGAGGGUGAUCGGCCACACUGGAACUGAGACACGGUCCAGACUCCUACGGGAGGCAGCAGUAGGGAAUCUUCCGCAAUGGGCGAAAGCCUGACGGAGCAACGCCGCGUGAGUGAUGAAGGUCUUCGGAUCGUAAAACUCUGUUAUUAGGGGAGAACAUAUGUGUAAGUAACUGUGCACAUCUUGACGGUACCUAAUCAGAAAGCCACGGCUAACUACGUG
rnacentral:rRNA from 1 species